rnacentral:rRNA from 1 species
GGAAUUUUCUGGAAUAGCAGAGGUCUUAAGGACUUGGCUAAAAGGAGGUUCCUGGCGGAGGCGUCCAUUGAGCAUCGAUUGGACUUUAUUGCCGUAUCAAAAACGGGUAGAGCCAAUUUCUCACCUCAAUUUCUCUAUACGCUGUCGGGGGGUAUGGAGUUUGACUGGCAUUGUCUUCCGCCGAGAGGAAGGUCGGGUGGAAUCUUACUCGGUGUUAGAUGUGACUCUCUCGAGGUCCGCAUUGUGGUCAUGGGGGAUUUUGCUGUUAAGUUCAGGGUACGGUCAAAAGUCGAUGGGUUCGACUGGGCUUUGAUAGCGGUGUAUGGGGUGGCGCAGGCAGAGCUCAAACCUGACUUUUUAGCUGAUCUUGUCAGAAUCUGCGGGUCUGAGCAACUCCCAAUUCUGGUUGGGGGUGAUUUUAAUAUCAUUAGAAGACGUGAUGAAAAGAAU